CCAGCCCUUAUCAGUUAUCUCUCGGUUUCCUACUUGCCUUCUUCAUUUUUGAUUUUUUUUCCUUUGAUUGAUUCAUUGUUUCCUUCUCAAGCCAAAGAUUAUUGAGCAAAUCAUACAUAAAUAAAUAUAUUAUUUAUUUAUACUAUAUAAGAUUCAAAUUACAAACCAAUGAAACCAUAGAAGAAGAAAAAUCUGCGGCUCAAAUUAAUCAGUCAAUCUUUAGAAAAAAUCAAAAUUUCUCGUUUCUCCAAAGUCGAUCGGCCUUCAACAUUUGAAGAUUGUUGAAGAUAAUCCGGCUGGGAGUUAAAUUAUCGGUUAUUGGAUCUUCAGUUGCUAGAUUAAAGUUUGGUCCAAAUGCUAGAAGCCAUAUUGAUUACCAUUAUGUUUCAUCAGCAAGUGGUGAUACUGAUACAGAUUGUGGAACAAAAGCACAAGGAGUUGUGGCACGUCUUCUGGGAAUGGAUUCAUUGCCAACUUCAAACGUUUUUUUUUUUCUAUCCCUAUUCUACUCCGUUUAUAGGGUCUCACUCUUUCAGAGAUUCUCGUUACUUGGGAACCCCCGUGUUUUAGAAUGAACAUGAUAUUGUAAUCUUUGAAAGAGUGAACAUGAACCCGUGUCUUCUAGCAUUCGGACCAGUUGUAGCUCGUGAUGUGGCAACAGAAAUUCAUGAUGGCUGUUAUCUAAAAAUUUAUCAUGUAUUUCCUGCUGCCUGUGUGAUUUUGAAUUUUUUUCCCCAAAUAAUGAAUUUCAAAUUAAUAUAGCUUUUA